rnacentral:lncRNA from 1 species
AUGGAUGGCAUCCUGCUUUCUCCUCAGCAUAGCUCACAGUUCCUCCCUGCUUGCACUCUCUCCUUGGAGGGAAAGUCAAAAGGUUUUUCAUUUAUCUCAGACCGAAGACGAAGCACAAAACACGACUCCCCUGAGAGACCCACGAGGAAACUGCGAACACCUUGCCCCAAAUAUCUGAUCUUGGAGGAGCAGAAAAUAGAAUGCACGUAUUUGUUUGCCGGGACGAAGACUUCCCUCAUUCCCCAGACGCUGCGUUGUCAUUGAACAUUUUGCCGCUGUGUGUUAGGCAUAUAAAAAUACAUUUCGAUUUUUAUUGGGGAAAGAAAACAUGUCUCAAGAACAAAAGAUAAUUGUAUUGAUUUGUUGAGCAUGUGGAACAGUUCAAAAUGUGUGUGUUGGUAAUGUUUUGAGCUCUGAGAAUCUGAAUGUGUAUUUUUAUGUGUGCAUGCAUGUGUGAGCAUUUGCGUACUAUCUGGAUUGCGUCAGCUUGUGUACUUUUUGUAUCGACCGAGUUCUCAUCAAUGCUGGGUUUCAGAUACAAAAUGGAUACCUGGGUUUUUAAACUUGAGUUUGAGAAGAAGCUUUGAGGUAUAAAAACUAAGAUGAAAGAUAAAUAGAUGCAGGCAAAAAGUUGUGAACUCAUUCAGAAGGUGUGUCUUAAAUUCUGUCAUGCUCAUUUGAUGGCCUCCUUAUUGUUUAGUACAUUUAAAGUCACUUAGUCUUGUUAAUGCACCAGUAUCGCUCUGCUCUUUCCUUGCAACCCAGUGAACGAACGCACAGUAGGGGACUUCAAUGCCAAUGCAUACAGUGGCUGCAUUUGCUCUUAUAAUACAAAUUAAGAUGGCCUUUCAUGGUUCCUUUCACCGCAGCAUUUCAUGGCUGCAUCUGAACAAAGUCACUGACAACAGUUAAUCAGAGUCAUUAAGAGGAACCAGUAAUGUCAGAUAUGGCUGAUGGCUCAAAGAAACGUUUCCUCAUCUAUAGGCAAUUAUUCUCUCUUUCUCUCUCUCUCUCUCUCUCUCUCUCUCUCUCUCUCUCUCUCUCUCUCUCUCUCUCUCUGUUUUGAAGCAAUGCUAAAUCAGAUAGAUUUGUGCAUUGAUAAAGGCAGCUACUGGACUGGAACAGUGUGAAUACAGUCCAUAAAAGAACCAGAGUAAAGAGCAAAAUAGUAAUUAUGCUCUCUUUCCUUUAUUGUAUAUUCAAUUUGACUCACUGCCUAUCAGUCUCAUUAUCUCUGUCACACACCACACAAAUAUGUAUGCAAUAAUAAUAAUGACAAAAGAGUGUGCAUCUGUCUCUUUCAUGGACAUUUGAUUUUAGUGCUGCUGAUUAUAUAACUACUACUGUACCUUGUUUUAUUUUUUAUUUAGUACCUGUUUUAUAUGUAAGUACAUGUAUUAUGCAUGUGCAUAUGCAUAUGUAUUACUUCCACAUACUUUUAUUUACAUAAUCUCUGUUGAAGUAGUUUUUUUUUCUGUGGACCCCAGUAAGAAGAAGAAGCUGGUAAAAGUUUAAAAAAGAGACCAUGUGCUCUAAAUGUGUCCAUUGCAGGUCAGAAUCAACCUUUAACUGAUUUUGUAUCUUUUUUUUGUCCAUGUUUUGCAAGAGACAUAAAAAUAACAAAUGAGCAAAAAAAGUGAGAAACUCCUUCCCUUCACUGUCUUUGUCUUUUGCCUGAAGGUAUGUUUGAUGCAGCAGCAAUGGCAGGCUCUUGUUGUGUCCAGUGAACACAAUGUGCAGUCUAACACAGUUGUCUCUGGCUUUCUGAGAUGUAGUCAUCUGAUGUAAAAACCAUUCUUAAUUCCAACCUCUACCAGCCCAUUCAAAUUUUUUUAUUUUUUUAUUUUUUUUUGUAGGAGGCGCUAAUCCCAAUUAAUACAUAUUUAAGAUUUGAACAGAUAACAAAGAGUGAUCACUACUACUUUCCCACCUCACCAUCUGUAAUAAAUUUUUCCUAAAUUUCAUUAAAGCAGCUGAUGCAAGACUGCAUAAUAAAAGCCUGCACAGAAAGCUAUAGUGCAACAAGUGUCAGAUGCCUGCAACCAUCAAUUUGUAGCAGAAAAAAUAUUUAGACACAGAUGGUAAUAGAAUAAUUGCUACAGAUGAGAAGUGCAAAAUCCUCCUGAGGUGCUUUUGGAGGAGAACCCUAGGGAGGCCAACUGUAUGGGGCAGACUGCCAACCUUCUUCCCAGGGAUGGUGACCUGCAGAGGGGAAG